AGCGGAGGAAAAGAAACUAACAAGGAUUCCCCUAGUAACGGCGAGUGAACCGGGAUGAGCUCAAAUUUGAAAUCUGGCGUCCUCAGGGCGUCCGAGUUGUAAUCUAUAGAGGCGUUUUCCGUGCCGGACCGUGUCCAAGUCCCUUGGAACAGGGUAUCAAAGAGGGUGACAAUCCCGUACUUGACACGACGACCGGUGCUCUGUGAUACGUCUUCUACGAGUCGAGUUGUUUGGGAAUGCAGCUCAAAAUGGGUGGUGAGUUCCAUCUAAAGCUAAAUAUUGGCGAGAGACCGAUAGCGAACAAGUACCGUGAGGGAAAGAUGAAAAGCACUUUGGAAAGAGAGUUAAACAGUACGUGAAAUUGUUGAAAGGGAAACGAUUGAAGUCAGUCGUGACUGUUGGGCUCAGCAGGUUCUGCCUGUGUAUUCCCUUCAGUCGGGUCAACAUCAGUUUUGACCGGUGGAUAAGGGCAGCAGGAAUGUGGCACCCUCGGGUGUGUUAUAGCCUGUCGUCGCAUACAUCGGUUGAGACUGAGGAACGCAGCUCGCCUUUAUGGCCGGGGUUCGCCCACGUCCGAGCUUAGGAUGUUGACAUAAUGGCUUUAAACGACCCGUCUUGAA
rnacentral:rRNA from 1 species